CCAUCGGUGAUUCACUGGUAGAGUGCUCGCCUGCCACGCGGGCGGCCCGGGUUCGACUCCCGGCCGACGCA
rnacentral:tRNA from 1 species